rnacentral:lncRNA from 1 species
AUCUCAACAUGCGCUAGAGGCGUUGGAUAAAACUCUUUAAAGACCACGAUUGUAAAAUCUUAUAUCACCCGAGCAAAGGUAAUGUUAUAGGAAGAAUGAAGGUAUAUUAGCUCACAUAAUAGUUUCUGACUACAGGAUAAUAAAAGCUACGCAGUAGAUACAGCUUCAGGAUUUAAAAAGGGUCAUAUGUCUGGCCCAUCUAGUAGUCUAACUCGAAUUAAUUCAAAGAAUAAAGGAAGUUCAACUGACUGAUCCCACUUUAGCAACUUUCAAGAAGGAUAUAGAAUAAGAUUUAAAUUUAGAA